UACGUAGGGAGCAAGCGUUGUCCGGAAUCAUUGGGCGUAAAGCGCGCGUAGGUGGCUUCGUAAGUCCGUUGUGAAAGUCAAAGGCUCAACCUUUGAAAGCCGGUGGAUACUGUCGGGCUAGAGUCCGGAAGAGGCGAGUGGAAUUCCUGGUGUAGCGGUGGAAUGCGCAGAUAUCAGGAGGAACACCGAUGGCGAAGGCAGCUCGCUGGGACGGUACUGACGCUGAGGCGCGAAAGCGUGGGGAGCGAACAGG
rnacentral:rRNA from 1 species